UUAUCUGUACAAGGAGAUACCAUGAUCAAGAACGUGGUUCUCCCAGGGCGAGGCUCACCCAUUGCAGUCCGGGUGUGAUGACCUCUGCGAUUUCCUCAAAUACGGGAAACUCGACUGUAUAAUUUAUGGUAGUGGGGGACUGCGUGCGCGCUUUCCCCUG
rnacentral:snRNA from 1 species